rnacentral:rRNA from 1 species
UGAGGAAUAUUGGUCAAUGGGGGCAACCCUGAACCAGCCAAGUCGCGUGAAGGAUGAAGGUCUUAUGGAUUGUAAACUUCUUUUACACGGGGAUAAAGUGGGGGACGUGUCCCCCUUUGCAUGUACCGUGUGAAUAAGGAUCGGCUAACUCCGUGCCAGCAGCCGCGGUAAUACGGAGGAUCCGAGCGUUAUCCGGAUUUAUUGGGUUUAAAGGGUGCGCAGGCGGGAUGUUAAGUCGGCGGUGAAAUUUUGCAGCUCAACUGUAAAAGUGCCUUCGAUACUGGCCUCCUUGAGUGUGGAUGAAGUAGGCGGAAUUUGUGGUGUAGCGGUGAAAUGCUUAGAUAUCACGAGGAACUCCGAUUGCGCAGGCAGCUUACUAGGCCACAACUGACGCUCAUGCACGAAGGCGUGGGGAUCAAACA